rnacentral:rRNA from 1 species
AUUGAACGCUGGCGGCGUGCUUAACACAUGCAAGUCGAUCGGUAACAGGUGUAGCAAUACAUGCUGACGAGAGGCGGACGGGUGAGGAAUAUUUGGGAAUCUGCCCAUCAGCGGGGGACAACCCGGGGAAACCCGGGCUAAUACCGCAUACGGUCUACGGAGGAAAGCCGGGGCCCGGAAGGCAUGGCACAGAUGGAUGAGCCCAAAUCGGAUUAGCUAGUUGGCGGGGUAACGGCCCACCAAGGCGACGAUCCGUAGCUGGUCUGAGAGGACGAUCAGCCACACCGGAACUGAGACACGGUCCGGACUCCUACGGGAGGCAGCAGUGGGGAAUAUUGGACAAUGGGGGAAACCCUGAUCCAGCGACGCCGCGUGGGUGAAGAAGGCCUGCGGGUUGUAAAGCCCUUUCGGUAGGGACGAAAGCUCCUGCUCUAAUAAUGCAGGAGGUUGACUUAACCUACAUAAGAAGCACCGGCUAACUCUGUGCCAGCAGCCGCCGUAAGAC